GAUGAACGCUGGCGGCGUGCCUAAUACAUGCAAGUCGAGCGAACGGACGAGAAGCUUGCUUCUCUGAUGUUAGCGGCGGACGGGUGAGUAACACGUGGAUAACCUACCUAUAAGACUGGGAUAACUUCGGGAAACCGGAGCUAAUACCGGAUAAUAUUUUGAACCGCAUGGUUCAAAAGUGAAAGACGGUCUUGCUGUCACUUAUAGAUGGAUCCGCGCUGCAUUAGCUAGUUGGUAAGGUAACGGCUUACCAAGGCAACGAUGCAUAGCCGACCUGAGAGGGUGAUCGGCCACACUGGAACUGAGACACGGUCCAGACUCCUACGGGAGGCAGCAGUAGGGAAUCUUCCGCAAUGGGCGAAAGCCUGACGGAGCAACGCCGCGUGAGUGAUGAAGGUCUUCGGAUCGUAAAACUCUGUUAUUAGGGAAGAACAUAUGUGUAAGUAACUGUGCACAUCUUGACGGUACCUAAUCAGAAAGCCACGGCUAACUACGUGCCAGCAGCCGCGGUAAUACGUAGGUGGCAAGCGUUAUCCGGAAUUAUUGGGCGUAAAGCGCGCGUAGGCGGUUUUUUAGUCUGAUGUGAAAGCCCACGGCUCAACCGUGGAGGGUCAUUGGAAACUGGAAAACUUGAGUGCAGAAGAGGAAAGUGGAAUUCCAUGUGUAGCGGUGAAAUGCGCAGAGAUAUGGAGGAACACCAGUGGCGAAGGCGACUUUCUGGUCUGUAACUGACGCUGAUGUGCGAAAGCGUGGGGAUCAAACAGGAUUAGAUACCCUGGUAGUCCACGCCGUAAACGAUGAGUGCUAAGUGUUAGGGGGUUUCCGCCCCUUAGUGCUGCAGCUAACGCAUUAAGCACUCCGCCUGGGGAGUACGACCGCAAGGUUGAAACUCAAAGGAAUUGACGGGGACCCGCACAAGCGGUGGAGCAUGUGGUUUAAUUCGAAGCAACGCGAAGAACCUUACCAAAUCUUGACAUCCUUUGACAACUCUAGAGAUAGAGCUUUCCCCUUCGGGGGACAAAGUGACAGGUGGUGCAUGGUUGUCGUCAGCUCGUGUCGUGAGAUGUUGGGUUAAGUCCCGCAACGAGCGCAACCCUUAAGCUUAGUUGCCAUCAUUAAGUUGGGCACUCUAAGUUGACUGCCGGUGACAAACCGGAGGAAGGUGGGGAUGACGUCAAAUCAUCAUGCCCCUUAUGAUUUGGGCUACACACGUGCUACAAUGGACAAUACAAAGGGCAGCGAAACCGUGAGGUCGAGCAAAUCCCAUAAAGUUGUUCUCAGUUCGGAUUGUAGUCUGCAACUCGACUACAUGAAGCUGGAAUCGCUAGUAAUCGUAGAUCAGCAUGCUACGGUGAAUACGUUCCCGGGUCU
rnacentral:rRNA from 1 species